UGGGGAAUUUUGGACAAUGGGGGAAACCCUGAUCCAGCCAUGCCGCGUGAGUGAUGAAGGCCUUAGGGUUGUAAAGCUCUUUCGCACGCGACAAUAAUGACGGUAGCGUGAGAAGAAGCCCCGGCUAACUUCGUGCCAGCAGCCGCGGUAAUACGAAGGGGGCUAGCGUUGUUCGGAAUUACUGGGCGUAAAGCGCGCGCAGGCGGGUCAUCAAGUCAGAGGUGAAAGCCCGGAGCUUAACUCCGGAAUAGCCUUUGAAACUGUUGAUCUUGAGUACGGGAGAGGUGAGUGGAAUUCCCAGUGUAGAGGUGAAAUUCGUAGAUAUUGGGAAGAACACCAGUGGCGAAGGCGGCUCACUGGCCCGUUACUGACGCUCAGGCGCGAUAGCGUGGGGAUCAAAC
rnacentral:rRNA from 1 species